rnacentral:rRNA from 1 species
UACGUAGGGUGCAAGCGUUAAUCGGAAUUACUGGGCGUAAAGCGUGCGCAGGCGGUUGUGCAAGACAGAUGUGAAAUCCCCGGGCUUAACCUGGGAACUGCAUUUGUGACUGCACGGCUAGAGAGUGUCAGAGGGGGGUAGAAUUCCACGUGUAGCAGUGAAAUGCGUAGAGAUGUGGAGGAAUACCGAUGGCGAAGGCAGCCCCCUGGGAUAACACUGACGCUCAUGCACGAAAGCGUGGGGAGCAAACAGG